AAUAAGUUUUAUUUUAGCUUAAAAAUUAAGUUUAUUUAUUAAAUUAAAUGCAUUUCUUAAUUARAUAUUAUUUAAAAAAUAAUAUAAUUUUUAGCAGUAAUUAAUUUUAGUAAUUUAAUUAGAGUUAGAUCUAGAAAUAAGUUUAAAUAUUGACAAAAUUUGUGCCAGCAGUCGCGGUUACACAAAUAAUAUAAUUUAAUUUAUUUAGUAUUAAUUAAUUUAAUAAAUAUUUAAUUUAAAUUUAAAUUUAUUAAGUGAAAUUUUAAAUUUUUAAAAAAUUAUUUAAUUGUUAAUGAAGUUAGGAAAUUUUAUUAAAAACUAGGAUUAGAUACCCUAUUAUUAAAAUGUAAUUUACAGUACUAAGUAAUUAUUAGUUAUGUUCUUUAAAAUUAAAAAAUUUGGCGGUAUUUUAGUCUAUUCAGAGGAACCUGUUCUGUAAUUGAUAAUCCACGAUUGAUUAAACUUAUUUUAAUUAGUUUGUAUAUCGUUGUAGUUUGAAUAUUUUAGGAGAAAAUAAAUAUUCAAGAUUUUAAUUUUGAAAAAUAAAUCAGAUCAAGAUGCAGUUUAUAAGUAAGGAGAAAUGGGUUACAUUAAAUAUAUUUAUGGAUAAAUUAUUGAAAAUAGUUUUGAAAAUGGAUUUGAUWGUAWUUUAAAUUACAUAGUUUAAGUGACUAUAGCUCUAAAAUAUGUACAUAUCGCCCGUCGCUUUCAUUUUAAAGUGAAAUAAGUCGUAACAAAGUAGAUUUACUGGAAAGUGAAUCUAGAAAGAC
rnacentral:ncRNA from 1 species